rnacentral:rRNA from 1 species
UACGUAGGGUGCAAGCGUUAUCCGGAAUUAUUGGGCGUAAAAAGCUCGUAGGCGGUUUGUCGCGUCUGCUGUGAAAACUGGAGGCUCAACCUCCAGCCUGCAGUGGGUACGGGCAAACUAGAGUGCGGUAGGGGAGAUUGGAAUUCCUGGUGUAGCGGUGGAAUGCGCAGAUAUCAGGAGGAACACCGAUGGCGAAGGCAGAUCUCUGGGCCGUAACUGACGCUGAGGAGCGAAAGCGUGGGGAGCGAACAGG